rnacentral:lncRNA from 1 species
CAACACCAUAGCAACCUUCAUGCACUGUUAUUCCACAGUUGUCACACUGGAUUAUUUCAUCAGCAUCUUCACUGUUAUCUCCAAGACAAACGCAACAAAUCAAAAUAUGGUCCAUUUUCUGGGAACUCCAAUUUUGGGACUUCUCAAGGAUCAAGGAGUCCUCAUUACUCUUGCUUUGUGAAAGAGCCAGGCUAUCAUUUGUCAGUUCCUCAUCAUCUGCAUUAUUUCUGUUAAGAACUUUACUCUUCUUCUUCUUGGAUCCUCCAUCACUAGCUGUGCUGCUAUUAUCUUCUUCAUUACCUUCCUCAUCAUUGUCAUCCUCAUCACUUCCACUCCCAUCAUCUUCAUCAUCCUCAUUAUCUCCAUCACUCCCUUCUUUUCGCAGUGCAUUUUUUCCUUUUUUCUUCUCGGGAGUAGGCCGCCAGUCAUUGUCAUCUUCACUAUCAUAAUCAUCCAUAUCAUUUAGUUCUUCCAUUGACACAAAGUCCAGUAACGGUCGGUUCCUGCGCAAAUUCCAUUUUUUUGGUUCACUUGCUUGUUCAUCAAUCACAGGAUCGGUUUCAGCUGCUUUCUCUUUUUCUUUCUUCUUUUUUGGUUUCUCUUCUUCAUCUUCUUGCUCCUUCUUUUCAGUUUUAAUUACCUCUUUGUCUGCUGUUGGCACUUCUUCUUCAGUGGAGCUCUUUGGCUGUUGCUCUUCUACUUUCUCUUCUGCUGGUUCCUCCUCCAAGAUAUUUUCUUCUGAUUCAGUACAGGAACCUUCUCCACUGUCCUUUGAUGCAUCUUCACUUCCAUGACCACUUCCUUCAGAAUUCAGAGAAGACAGGUUGGUUCUUCAAUGUAGUGUUAAAGCUUAUCAAACAGCUCUGAAGCAUCUCCAACUUUAAAAUCACUGUCAUCAGAGCUAUCAUAAUCUAAAGCUUCCAGCAGGGAAGCCGCCAGAGGCUUCACUUGUCUCCUCUUCGAGCUGCGGUCCAUAAAGGCUGUGCAGGUAAGCGGCGGCGAGCGGGAAUGCGUCCAGGCGGCGGCAGCGCGGCGCCGCCUUAGCCCCUCGGGUGCGGACCGCUGAGCCUCGGACCCCCUCGCCAGACAAUGGGCACGGC